rnacentral:rRNA from 1 species
UACGUAGGGACCAAGCGUUGUUCGGAUUUACUGGGCGUAAAGGGCGCGUAGGCGGCAAUUCAAGUCAUCUGUGAAAUCUCCGGGCUUAACUCGGAACGGUCAGAUGAUACUGCUUUGCUAGAGUGCGGAAGGGGCAAUCGGAAUUCUCGGUGUAGUGGUGAAAUGCGCAGAUAUCGGGAGGAACACCCGUAGCGAAGGCGGCACUCUGGGCCGGUACUGACGCUGAGGAGCGAAAGCGUGGGGAGCGAACAGG